rnacentral:rRNA from 1 species
GUAGUCAUAUGCUUGUCUCAAAGAUUAAGCCAUGCAUGUCUAAGUAUAAGCAAUUAUACCGUGAAACUGCGAAUGGCUCAUUAAAUCAGUUAUCGUUUAUUUGAUAGUACCUUACUACUUGGAUAACCGUGGUAAUUCUAGAGCUAAUACAUGCUGAAAACCCCAACUUCGGAAGGGGUGUAUUUAUUAGAUAAAAAACCAAUGCCCUUCGGGGCUCCUUGGUGAUUCAUAAUAACUUCUCAGAUCGCAUGGCCUUGCGCCGGCGACGGUUCAUUCAAAUUUCUGCCCUAUCAACUUUCGAUGGUAAGGUAUUGGCUUACCAUGGUUUCAACGGGUAACGGGGAAUUAGGGUUCGAUUCCGGAGAGGGAGCCUGAGAAACGGCUACCACAUCCAAGGAAGGCAGCAGGCGCGCAAAUUACCCAAUCCCGACACGGGGAGGUAGUGACAAUAAAUACUGAUACAGGGCUCUUUUGGGUCUUGUAAUUGGAAUGAGUACAAUUUAAACCUCUUAACGAGGAACAAUUGGGGGACAAGUCUGGUGCCAGCAGCC